rnacentral:rRNA from 1 species
GUCUACGACCAUACCACCCUGAACGCCCGAUCUCGUCUGAUCUCCGAAGCUAAGCAGGGUCGGGCCUAGUUAGUACUUGGAUGGGAGAACUAUACUGUUUGAGAGA